rnacentral:rRNA from 1 species
GGGUUGUGAGGUUAAGCGACUAAGCGUACACGGUGGAUGCCCUGGCAGUCAGAGGCGAUGAAGGACGUGCUAAUCUGCGAUAAGCGUCGGUGAGGUGAUAUGAACCGUUAUAACCGGCGAUUUCCGAAUGGGGAAACCCAGUGUGUUUCGACACACUAUCAUUAACUGAAUCCAUAGGUUAAUGAGGCGAACCGGGGGAACUGAAACAUCUAAGUACCCCGAGGAAAAGAAAUCAACCGAGAUUCCCCCAGUAGCGGCGAGCGAACGGGGAGGAGCCCAGAGCCUGAAUCAGUGUGUGUGUUAGUGGAAGCGUCUGGAAAGGCGCGCGAUACAGGGUGACAGCCCCGUACACAAAAAUGCACAUGCUGUGAGCUCGAUGAGUAGGGCGGGACACGUGGUAUCCUGUCUGAAUAUGGGGGGACCAUCCUCCAAGGCUAAAUACUCCUGACUGACCGAUAGUGAACCAGUACCGUGAGGGAAAGGCGAAAAGAACCCCGGCGAGGGGAGUGAAAAAGAACCUGAAACCGUGUACGUACAAGCAGUGGGAGCCUCUUAAUGGGGUGACUGCGUACCUUUUGUAUAAUGGGUCAGCGACUUAUAUUCUGUAGCAAGGUUAACCGAAUAGGGGAGCCGAAGGGAAACCGAGUCUUAACUGGGCGUUAAGUUGCAGGGUAUAGACCCGAAACCCGGUGAUCUAGCCAUGGGCAGGUUGAAGGUUGGGUAACACUAACUGGAGGACCGAACCGACUAAUGUUGAAAAAUUAGCGGAUGACUUGUGGCUGGGGGUGAAAGGCCAAUCAAACCGGGAGAUAGCUGGUUCUCCCCGAAAGCUAUUUAGGUAGCGCCUCGUGAAUUCAUCUCCGGGGGUAGAGCACUGUUUCGGCAAGGGGGUCAUCCCGACUUACCAACCCGAUGCAAACUGCGAAUACCGGAGAAUGUUAUCACGGGAGACACACGGCGGGUGCUAACGUCCGUCGUGAAGAGGGAAACAACCCAGACCGCCAGCUAAGGUCCCAAAGUCAUGGUUAAGUGGGAAACGAUGUGGGAAGGCCCAGACAGCCAGGAUGUUGGCUUAGAAGCAGCCAUCAUUUAAAGAAAGCGUAAUAGCUCACUGGUCGAGUCGGCCUGCGCGGAAGAUGUAACGGGGCUAAACCAUGCACCGAAGCUGCGGCAGCGACACUGUGUGUUGUUGGGUAGGGGAGCGUUCUGUAAGCCUGUGAAGGUGUGCUGUGAGGCAUGCUGGAGGUAUCAGAAGUGCGAAUGCUGACAUAAGUAACGAUAAAGCGGGUGAAAAGCCCGCUCGCCGGAAGACCAAGGGUUCCUGUCCAACGUUAAUCGGGGCAGGGUGAGUCGACCCCUAAGGCGAGGCCGAAAGGCGUAGUCGAUGGGAAACAGGUUAAUAUUCCUGUACUUGGUGUUACUGCGAAGGGGGGACGGAGAAGGCUAUGUUGGCCGGGCGACGGUUGUCCCGGUUUAAGCGUGUAGGCUGAUUUUCCAGGCAAAUCCGGAAAACUAAGGCUGAGGCGUGAUGACGAGGCACUACGGUGCUGAAGCAACAAAUGCCCUGCUUCCAGGAAAAGCCUCUAAGCAUCAGGUAACAUCAAAUCGUACCCCAAACCGACACAGGUGGUCAGGUAGAGAAUACCAAGGCGCUUGAGAGAACUCGGGUGAAGGAACUAGGCAAAAUGGUGCCGUAACUUCGGGAGAAGGCACGCUGAUAUGUAGGUGAAGUCCCUCGCGGAUGGAGCUGAAAUCAGUCGAAGAUACCAGCUGGCUGCAACUGUUUAUUAAAAACACAGCACUGUGCAAACACGAAAGUGGACGUAUACGGUGUGACGCCUGCCCGGUGCCGGAAGGUUAAUUGAUGGGGUUAGCGGUAACGCGAAGCUCUUGAUCGAAGCCCCGGUAAACGGCGGCCGUAACUAUAACGGUCCUAAGGUAGCGAAAUUCCUUGUCGGGUAAGUUCCGACCUGCACGAAUGGCGUAAUGAUGGCCAGGCUGUCUCCACCCGAGACUCAGUGAAAUUGAACUCGCUGUGAAGAUGCAGUGUACCCGCGGCAAGACGGAAAGACCCCGUGAACCUUUACUAUAGCUUGACACUGAACAUUGAGCCUUGAUGUGUAGGAUAGGUGGGAGGCUUUGAAGUGUGGACGCCAGUCUGCAUGGAGCCGGCCUUGAAAUACCACCCUUUAAUGUUUGAUGUUCUAACGUUGGCCCCUGACCGGGGUUGCGGACAGUGUCUGGUGGGUAGUUUGACUGGGGCGGUCUCCUCCUAAAGAGUAACGGAGGAGCACGAAGGUUGGCUAAUCCUGGUCGGACAUCAGGAGGUUAGUGCAAUGGCAUAAGCCAGCUUGACUGCGAGCGUGACGGCGCGAGCAGGUGCGAAAGCAGGUCAUAGUGAUCCGGUGGUUCUGAAUGGAAGGGCCAUCGCUCAACGGAUAAAAGGUACUCCGGGGAUAACAGGCUGAUACCGCCCAAGAGUUCAUAUCGACGGCGGUGUUUGGCACCUCGAUGUCGGCUCAUCACAUCCUGGGGCUGAAGUAGGUCCCAAGGGUAUGGCUGUUCGCCAUUUAAAGUGGUACGCGAGCUGGGUUUAGAACGUCGUGAGACAGUUCGGUCCCUAUCUGCCGUGGGCGCUGGAGAACUGAGGGGGGCUGCUCCUAGUACGAGAGGACCGGAGUGGACGCAUCACUGGUGUUCGGGUUGUCAUGCCAAUGGCACUGCCCGGUAGCUAAAUGCGGAAGAGAUAAGUGCUGAAAGCAUCUAAGCACGAAACUUGCCCCGAGAUGAGUUCUCCCUGACUCCUUGAGGGUCCUGAAGGAACGUUGAAGACGACGACGUUGAUAGGCCGGGUGUGUAAGCGCAGCGAUGCGUUGAGCUAACCGGUACUAAUGAACCGUGAGGCUUAACCUUACAACGCCGAAG